GACGAACGCUGGCGGCGUGCUUAACACAUGCCAGUCGAACGGAAAGGCCCUGCUUUUGUGGGGUGCUCGAGUGGCGAACGGGUGAGUAACACGUGAGUAACCUGCCCUUGACUUUGGGAUAACUUCAGGAAACUGGGGCUAAUACCGCAUAGGAGCUCCUGCUGCAUGGUGGGGGUUGGAAAGUUUCGGCGGUUGGGGAUGGACUCGCGGCUUAUCAGCUUGUUGGUGGGGUAGUGGCUUACCAAGGCUUUGACGGGUAGCCGGCCUGAGAGGGUGACCGGCCACAUUGGGACUGAGAUAAGGCACAGACUCCUACGGGAGGCAGCAGUGGGGAAUAUUGCACAAUGGGCGGAAGCCUGAUGCAGCAACGCCGCGUGCGGGAUGACGGCCUUCGGGUGGUAAACCGCUUUCGCCUGUAACGAAGCGUGAGUGACGGGAAUGGGUAAAGAAGCACCGGCUAACUACGGG
rnacentral:rRNA from 1 species